rnacentral:rRNA from 1 species
UACGGAGGAUGCAAGCGUUAUCCGGAAUGAUUGGGCGUAAAGCGUCCGCAGGUGGCUGUGUAAGUCUGCUGUUAAAGAGUCUAGCUCAACUAGAUAAAAGCAGUGGAAACUACACGGCUAGAGUACGUUCGGGGCAGAGGGAAUUCCUGGUGUAGCGGUGAAAUGCGUAGAGAUCAGGAAGAACACCAGUGGCGAAGGCGCUCUGCUAGGCCGUAACUGACACUGAGGGACGAAAGCUAGGGGAGCGAAUGGG